CUACGGGGUGCUCCAGGCGAGAAAACUUUGCAAUGUGCGAAAGCACGACAAGGUUAAUCCGAGUGGUUUCUGCUAAAGGAACCUUUUGUCAGUCCUAGAAACACUGAUGAAUAAGGGGUGGGCAAGUUCUGGUGUCAGCCGCCGCGGUAAAACCAGCACCUCAAGUGGUCAGGAUGAUUAUUGGGCCUAAAGCAUCCGUAGCCGGCUCUGUAAGUUUUCGGUUAAAUCUGUACGCUCAACGUACAGGCUGCCGGGAAUACUGCAGAGCUAGGGAGUGGGAGAGGUAGACGGUACUCGGUAGGAAGGGGUAAAAUCCUUUGAUCUAUUGAUGACCACCUGUGGCGAAGGCGGUCUACCAGAACACGUCCGACGGUGAGGGAUGAAAGCUGGGGGAGCAAACCGGAUUAGAUACCCUUGUAGUC
rnacentral:rRNA from 1 species